ACCUCGGGAAACUGAGAACAAUACUCCAUAGGUCUAGGAGGCUGGAAUGCGCCUAGGCUAAAAACUCCGGUGCCAUAGGAUGAGUCUGCGGACUAUCAGGUUGUAGUCAGGGUAAAGACCUGACUAGCCUACGACGGAUACGGGUUGUGAGAGCAAUAACCCGGAGAUGAUAUCUGAGACACGAUAUCAGGCCCUACGGGGCGCAGCAGGCGCGAAAACUUCACACUGCGCGAAAGCGCGAUGAGGGAAUCCCAAGUGUAUGCACGUAAGUGUAUACUGUUUCUAUGUCUAAAAAGCAUAGAGAGUAAGGGCUGGGUAAGACGGGUGCCAGCCGCCGCGGUAAUACCUGCAGCUCAAGUGGUGGCCGCUAUUAUUGGGCCUAAAACGUCCGUAGCCGGUCUUAUAAAUGCCUGGGUAAAUCGUACGGCUUAACCGUACGAAUUCUUGGUAGACUGUAAGACUUGAGACCGGGAGAGGUUAGAGGUACUCCUGGGGUAGAGGUGAAAUUCUGUAAUCCUAGGGGGACCACCAGUGGCGAAGGCGUCUAACUAGAACGGGUCUGACGGUGAGGGACGAAGCCCUGGGGCGCAAACCGGAUUAGAUACCCGGGUAGUCCAGGGUGUAAACGCUGCUUGCUUGAUGUUAGUCGGGCUCCGAGCCCGAUUAGUGUCGGAGUGAAGAUGUUAAGCAAGCUGCCUGGGAAGUACGGUCGCAAGAUUGAAACUUAAAGGAAU
rnacentral:rRNA from 1 species